rfam:Bacillus glycinifermentans strain GO-13 contig_28, whole genome shotgun sequence.
AGAUUCUUUAACACAGUCCAGAGAGGCUGAGAAGGAUAUCGGACAAGUGAAUGAGUAUAUUCGCUUUAAAGACCCCUCUCUGCCCGAUGCAGAAGGGGUUUUUGUUU